rnacentral:pre_miRNA from 1 species
UGGUGAUGGUGAUGGUGAUGAUGAUGGUGAUGGUGAUGGUGAUGGUGAUGGUGAUGCCAUGCCAUCAUCAUCAGAAUCAUCCCGUUCU